ensembl:lncRNA
UUCACAGCGCAGAUCAUAAUGAGCGAGCGUGUUUUUUAAAUAAAGUUUGAUGAUGACGUUGAUCCGCGACCAUGGUGUGCUGUAGUGUACUUUUACUGUCUAUGGCUGUAGUCCGUUUAUAGCCUACCGUUAGCAUUUUAUAUCUGACGGCUUUAUUUAGGCUUCAAAAUGUAUACAGUUUGGAUUAACUUGUAAAGAUUAUCUUGAUAAACAAAACGUGUAAGGGUCAUAACUCUUUGUUGAACACAGAUCUUAUUUUUUGUGCGGUAUGAUGGUAUAUUCUGUGACGAUGGAAUAAAAUGUCUACCGAUACAGAUUUUUCUAUUCCGUGUAUACCGUGAAGUUUAAAUUAGUGGGCGUGGUUAACCUCACGUGUAGCGCGCCGGGACGUGAGAACGAUUGAGAAGCUGCACACAAGCGUAUAUAAGAAGAAAAACAUGGAGAAAGAUAAGCAUGCUGAUAAAGAAAUCCCACAAACCAAUCCCGAGCAGCAGGAGGAGGAACGCGACAUCAGUGUGGAAGCUGGCACAGGAGCUCUUCUACACUCCCUUCAAGCAGCUCAGGAGGUGCCGUGUAUUCACUGAAGUCCUCAGCGAGUAAGGAGACCUCACCAUUGGCUUCGGACAAGCCAAUCACCACGAUGUCCUCCACCACUGGUGCCUGCUCCAAAACCUUGCAAAUUGCAAAAAAAGGUAAAAAAAAAAAAAAAAAACUGAUUUAGUGAUAAUUUAUCUCUAAUGAUUUUGCUUUUUUUUAUUAGAAUACUUAUGUUUACACACAAUCUAUGAAGGGCAGUGCUAUAUUGUGAAUAUUGUCAUGGCUGAAGGUUAUUGUUAGGCACAAUGCAGCCUUGGGUGUGUUAUUGAUUUCAUGAAAUAGUUACCACAUGAUAAUUUAGGAGUAACAGAAUGUUUAUAUGCAACAAAACAAAUCAAACAUGACUGAAAAAUCUUGCCAAAGUCUUCCAUAUUUUUUUAAACGUACAGACAGGCAUGUUUGAUUAUGCUUCAGGUGCCCUGCUCUAAUGUGUAUGUUACAUACCUCCACAGUUGUGAAUUUAACUUGGUGGCCUUGGCGCUUGCUCGAAGGUGACAUAUGUUCACCUUAUCAUUAAUUCUGAGCUUGGACAAGGCCUGGUCCCGCCAUAAGGACACCUCAAGGAUCCUGGAGCCGCUUUUGAUCCCCACGUCCAAGAUGGGGACUUCUGUGUCCCUCACAGUCGUCAUCCUUGGAACCUGCAUCUAUAAAGUUAUGUUCCUUCCUGAGUUAAGUGGCCCCCUCUUGAGAAGAGGUCCUGCUCAUCCCCAGUCACUGAGACAGAUGGUGGAACCAGGGCGUCUUUGGCCAUCUUCUCUGCAUCAAAGCUCAGUGUGAGGGGAGCGCUUUUGUAGGUCGUUGUGUUCGGACCCAUGAACAGACGUUCCUGCCCAUAUCUUGAGGACACGGUGUAGUUUUUUAUAUAGUAUGUCACGCCCUCUUCAAAGGCAGCCCUGUCUGAAGAGGACUGCGUGACAUACACCUGACCACCUGUGGACAGUGUACUAAGGUAAGUGAUCACUUGAGUGCCCGGCCUAAUUUCCCCAUCUACAAGCAUAAAAUUGAGGGUUUUUGUGGUUAAGCACACACUUGACCCUGAUGGGACUGGGGCAGCUAUACGGAGAGGAUGCCAUUCUGAUGAGGAAAACAUGAAAAAGGAGUUGUGCAGUGAUAAAUGAGUUUGUCAUUGGUGGAUGGCAGUCGUAAGGUGUACAGACAUCUUGAGGGGAAAUUAAUGGGAAAGUAACCUACACAAAUGAAAUGACCGUUAUCAGCUCGUCAGCACGUGAUUGAUCAUAGCCAAUGAGACCGCUGGAACUUUGAACAGGAAGUCAACCGCUUUUCCCGCCCGUGUUCCCCCAGUGUGAUUGCUUCCUUCAGAUUAUUGGUUCAUCCUUGUAAGUAUUGCACUUGCAC